CCUACGGGAGGCAGCAGUGAGGAAUAUUGGUCAAUGGACGAGAGUCUGAACCAGCCAAGUAGCGUGAAGGAUGACUGCCCUAUGGGUUGUAAACUUCUUUUAUAUGGGAAUAAAACGUUCCACGUGUGGGAUUUUGUAUGUACCAUAUGAAUAAGGAUCGGCUAACUCCGUGCCAGCAGCCGCGGUAAUACGGAGGAUCCGAGAGUUAUCCGGAUUUAUUGGGUUUAAAGGGAGCGUAGGUGGAUUGUUAAGUCAGUUGUGAAAGUUUGCGGCUCAACCGUAAAAUUGCAGUUGAAACUGGCAGUCUUGAGUACAGUAGAGGUGGGCGGAAUUCGUGGUGUAGCGGUGAAAUGCUUAGAUAUCACGAAGAACUCCGAUUGCGAAGGCAGUUCACUGGACUGCAACUGACACUGAGGCUCGAAAGUGUGGGUAUCAAACAGGAUUAGAUACCCGUGUAGUC
rnacentral:rRNA from 1 species